GCUGACACAGAGAGACAGAGAGGAGACGAAUUGUUGAAUAAUGUCGUUAUUUUUAUUUUCUUUGCGUACAGAAAGUAUUCUCGUCGCUUCAUAAAAUUCAGAUUGAACCACUGAUGGCAGAUGGACUACUUUGACGAUCUUUUUUUAUACUUUUCUGUGCCUUGACAGUGUAAUUUACUUGGCAGUCAAUGGGACAGUCACAAGCCUCCCGGUUUCCAUCCAAAAUAUCUUAAAUUGUGUUCCAAGGACGAACGAAGCUUUUACGGGUUUGGAACGACAUGGGGGAUUCAAAAAUGGCUGGAAUUUAUGAACUGACACACGUCACCACGGGACAGGACGGGAAAUGAGGAAUGUCUCGCUUCCGUCACCGCAGCAGGAUUCUUUGAUGAAAAGAACUACAUUUAUUUGAAGAAACCUUUCAUAAUUUCAUCAUGUCUUUAAUGUCACUUUUGAUCAAUUUAAAGUAUUCAUGCUGAAUAAACAUAUUCAUUAAAAAGAAAAAAAAAAAAACUUCUGACCCCAAACUUUUGAACAGUUGAAUCAUUUAAAGAAUCAUUUCACUUCCCGCCACUGGGGGGCACUAAUGUCCAAGAAAUGUGUUGUGUAAUUUCAUUCCUCACUUUAAAUCUUUUCCAUAGAGUUCAGACAAACAUUAGGCCUAUGGAACCAACAUGAUUCAUUUGUUUAGUGUGCUAGAGGGAGAAGUAAAGAA